rnacentral:lncRNA from 1 species
CAACCCUGUGGGGAGGGAUAUUGGCUAGAGCUAGUGGCUUUCUGCCCGGGACGGUCCCAGGGACAGCCUGCGAUGGGAAUACUGGCCGUUGACCUUGCCCCAGUGCUUGGCAAACACUUGGGGAAUGGAUGAGUCAAUACGUGAAUGAACGACUGAGUGGACAGAUGUCCGGUGAGUGAGAGGGCCCGAGGAGUCCUGGCCCGGCCGCCUCCAUGGCCCUGGCCGUGCACACCGGACGGAGUUAACUGGGAGCGUGACCGGCCCCGCUCCUGGCCAGAGCUGGCUAGCAGCCUGGCGGGCAGCUUGCACAAUCCUGCGGGCUCUGGGGUUCUCGUUUUUGAGGCAUGGCGUCACCUCUGCCGCCGGCCUCUCCCUCCUUGUCCUGCGUUGUCCCCUGGCAUCCUAACAGGAACCGCGUGUCUGUGGUCAGCGGGAAGAAGGUCAACCCCCCGCUGGGAGCCCGUCCUGCUCCACCGGCUCUGCCCAAGCGCCCACGCGGCCCGGGGCUGCGGGAGAGCUUGGAGGCGGCCGCCCGACCCCGUCCCUUUCCAGCCUCCCCAGACCCCUGCUGUGCGUGGCACCUUCCCUCUAGGAGCAGGGCGACGAGCGGGCAGGACGGCUGCUAUUCAAGGCCCCGUGUGCCAUCCCUCCUUCCUGGAGGGCUGCGACAGAACCACGGCCUCCGAAGACGUCGCCUGCCGGCACCGGGCCUCCCACGGCACACGGUUCUGCUCCGCAUUUUGGGACACGGGGAUGAGGCUGGGAUGGCCAACGUAAUCGCGAGGCUCCUGAGAAGGAGGGCAGGAGGUGCAGCGUGCAGAGAAGAUUCAUUCUGCUCGCUUGCAAGACGGAAGGCCAGAAGCUGAGGCAUGCAGGUGUCCAGAAGCUUGAGCCUCCCGAGGGCACCGGCCCGGGCUCACCUGAGUCUAGCCCUGCCGCUCCCUGUGGACCCCAGACCCCAAACCGUGAGGGAAUAAAUGCACGUUGGUUCAGGCGCUCGGUGUGGGGUGAUUUGCUACAGCAGAAAUUAGGAAACAAAUGCAAACCUGGAAGAUGGCGCGGCCCAGCAGGGCAGUGGGACUCAUGCUGGCCCGUGAAAGGCGAGCGCAGGUGACACAGACCCCUUCAGCCAGGGGUUCCACCUUCCCCUGCCGCAGCCGCUGAGGCUCCUGCAGCUGCGGAAGGUGCAGUGUGGCUCCCUUCCCUGCCGGGGUCCCCAGCUGACUGUCUUAGCUACCGGGAUGCGGGGGCCUGUUUGUCACAGCGACGUAAGCUAACCUCUGCGGGGGCGAGGAGGCAGCCAGGGGCUCCGGGCCAAGGCAAGGGCAGACAAAGGCCUGGGGAGGUGGGAGUCUGUCCGGCUGGGUGCAGGCGGGCUGCGGUGGGGUGCGGCCUGGGCAGGCCUCUCUGGCUCUCCCCCUGCAUCCGUGCUCUUCCCGCCAGGUGAGCUCGGCGCGUGGCCAGCCCGCCGCACGGUCGACAGGGACGUGUGCUCGCAGCUCUGGGGUAUCUCUAGGUAUGGCUCCAGCUGUAAGGGGCCGGGAUACAUGCAGGUGCCGGGGGGCCGGGGCUGUAUGGAGUGUGUGGGGGCACAUCUGGGGGGGAGAGGGACGGCUGUGAGUACCAGGGUGAAUGGCGACCCCUUCACAAAGACCCUUGACGGGAGACCUGCGGCCCAGGAGUGGCUCUGCAGGUGAUCCUGACCCCUGGGGCCUGCCCUUAACCCCCCCCCCCCAUUCUUUGCCUGUGUCCUCUCCAGGGUUGCUAAUUGCCGGUCAGAUUAGCAGGAUGGCUUCGUCCUUUUGUUACCUGAAAUGCAUCCGACUCUGUGAACAAUGAGUCCUGCAGGGCGCUGCCUUCACCACUGGCAUUGGAUUACUUCCUUGCAGGACACCGAGGACCUGCCUGGGAAGUUGUGGGGACCCCCGUCCCCCCCCCCCACACACACACGAGGACGUGUGAGUGUGCGGUGCGUGUGCACUCCCAGGCACGCGCGUUUCCUGACACGCUCGCAGCAGCGGAUGAAGGCAGGGCUUGUGCCCUAACUGAGUGGUCCCUGGGCGUUCAGCCUCGGGUCUUUGCUAAUCCUCAGGACCCCCUGUGGGUGCGGGUCGUGCUCCUCAUUUUACACACAGGGAAACUGAGGCUCAGGACCUGGGUCACGGACCUGGGGGGGGGUGGCGCAGCCUGGAGCUGCUGCUCCAUCCAGGUGGGCCAGGCCCUGAGGCUGGCGCUCCCUUGGCCUUUCCCCCUCCCUUGCAAAUAUCUUCCUAAAACCGCCCUCGGGUUUCCCUGUCGGGGAGGGGGCUCGUCCUCCCCUCCCUGCCCACCUGCCGGGGGCAAAGCUGGCAGCUGUGGAGGCGGGAGGCAGGCAUUGCCUGGUCGGUUUUGUAUCGUUGGGGCUCUUAAUGACCGAGAUUACUCACUCUUUUUUAUUUUCUCCUUCCCAGGUGAAUUUUGUAUCCUUUGCCAUGGCCCUCGGGCCUCCCCUCCCGCAGCGCCCCCCCGGGUGCAGGCUGUAGGAUGAUGUCAGUGCCCCCGGGGCGGGGGGGUCGAGGGGCUCCGCGGAACUGCCCGUCUCCUGCCCACCAGGUGUACACGCUGCCUUUGCAGAAGCAAUCCCCUGCUUGGCAAAGGGCAGUGUUUGCCCCGGGGCGGGAGCUGGCCGUCCCGCGCCAGGCCCUGUUUGCUCUGGCAGGAGCCGCGAAGCUGUCUAAGAGCACAGUUUGUUGAACUUCCUGGAUUCCUUAUCAGGCAGCCUGCCCCGCAGGCAGCGGGUGAAAGGCCGAUCGGGACCCAGGAGAAGCCUCCCCUGGCAGGAGAAGCCUGCCAUGGCAGGAGAAGCCUCCCAUGGCAGGAGAAGCCUCCCAUGGCCUGAGCCGACAGUCCCCGCUGCUUUCCUGCCCGCAUUCUCCGCAAGCCCCCUUACCCGGGAUGUAUCGUGCCCUGGGCAGCCCCACGCGUUUGCCCAGGCCAGAUCCUCCAGCAGGAAUGUCCUUUCCAUUUCUACCAGCCGAAAUCUUACUUGGCUGCUAGAAUGAAUGAACGAAUGGAAGAUGGAUGAACGAAUGCCUGAACGCAUUCUGAGGGUGGGGCUGGGACAAGUGACAGGCAGUGCCCCCUCAUUUUUCUUUUUUCUUUUUUUAAUGAUAAUAGAAUAGACAAGUAUUUUAAUAUAUAUUUUGAGUAACUGUUGUAAAAAAAAAUUAAGCCCAAAACAUAAGUGCGCACUGUGGUAUUGGCAUAGUGGCAACCAAUUUAGAUUAAAAAGUAUCUUAAUAGAAUAUGGCACUUAUUUAAAGUGACCCACACAUAUUUGCUAUAGUACAUAUAUACAACCUAAAAUUUCUCAUGAACCACAUUAAGUGAUAUAAUUCAGUGCUGUUAAUUACAUUCACAAUGCUGUGGAUGUAAUUACCACCAGCCAUUAGCAAAACGUUUCCAUCAUUUGGAAUAGAAACUCUGUGUAGGUUAAGAAUUAACUUCCAUUCCCUGCCUCCACACCAGCCCGUAUCAACCUAUGUUCUAGGUUCUGACUCUGUGAAUUUCAUCGCUCUCAUUAUUUCAUGUCAUUGGAAUCGCACAGUAUUUACCAUUUCAUAUCUGGCUUAUUUCACUCAACAUGUUGUCUUUAAGGUUUCACGCAUGGUGUCGCUUGAAUGAGAAUUUCAUUCCUUUUUAUGGCUGGAUAAUAUUUCAGCUAUAGGCAUAUAUUCCAUUUUAUGAAUCCAUUCAUUAUUUGAUGGGCACUUGGUUUGCUUCCAUCUUUUGGUAAUUGUCAAUAAAGCUGUGAGGAAUAUUGGCGUGCCAGU